AGGAGCAACAGCCCUAGUGGCGGGGCCAGCUCUGCAGCCCUGGAGUCAGCUCCCGCAGUAACUCCGGAGCUCUCCGUCUGCAGGGCCUGGAGGCUCCGGGGCGGG
rnacentral:pre_miRNA from 1 species